rnacentral:rRNA from 1 species
AGCGAGCGCUGGCGGCAGGCCUAAUACAUGCAAGUCGAACGGAUCCUUCGGGAUUAGUGGCGGACGGGUGAGUAACACGUGGGAACGUGCCCUUUGGUUCGGAACAACUCAGGGAAACUUGAGCUAAUACCGGAUAAGCCCUUCGGGGAAAGAUUUAUCGCCAUUGGAGCGGCCCGCGUCUGAUUAGCUAGUUGGUGGGGUAAAGGCCUACCAAGGCGACGAUCAGUAGCUGGUCUGAGAGGAGAUCAGCCACACUGGGACUGAGACACGGCCCAGACUCCUACGGGAGGCAGCAGUAGGGAAUCUUGCGCAAUGGGCGAAAGCCUGACGCAGCCAUGCCGCGUGAAUGAUGAAGGUCUUAGGAUUNUAAAAUUCUUUCAGCGGGACGAAUAAUGACGGUACCCGCAGAAGAACGCCCCGGCUAACUUCGUGCCAGCCGCCGCCGU